CCUGAAUACCAUUUUUACAUGGCCGAAAUAAACAAAUUUGAAUAUGAGGGAAGAAAUUUUAUUUCUAUUUUUGACGCAUAUUCUAACUUUAUGACUGUGAAACAACUAAAAGGGAAGUCUAUAGAGUAUGGAAUUGGUUUUCGAUAGUUAUGGUUAUCCACUCAAAACUAGAGUGUGAUAAUAACCCCUUUAACUCAUUUAUGUUUAAUAUCUUUGCAAACGACUCUAAUAUAAUUCUGCAGUUUUCCAGCCCAAGAUAUCCUUAAAGAAAUGGGCUAGCGGAAAAAGGAGUGGCAAUUGCAAAGAAUAUUUUAAAACACUGCUCUGAAGCUAGAAAUUAUCAACAUAGAACUCUUGAAUAUAAUGCUACGCCAGAAGUAGUUUUAAGUUGUGCCCCAUGUGAGUUUCUUUGGUAGAAUGUGUAAAACUAAAAUACCGACUAAAAAAUCUGAACUGCAUCGUAAUACAAUUGAUGAGCAAGCUAUAACCAUGAAAUUUCUAUACAAGAAAUCCACACAAAAAUACUAUUACAACAUGCACUCAAAAAGUUUGUGUCCAUUUAACAGAGGUUAUAAAGUUCAAUUUAAAAAAAACCACCAAUGAGUUCGCACGUGGAGUGAUAGAAAGUAGAGUAAAUGAACGUUCAUACUUAAAUAAAGAUGAUCAUAAUAACUUCUUUAGAAGAAACAGAAAACUAAUGGUCAGUAUUUUACAUGAUUGAAGGUGUCUUCUGUACCUGUAUCGAUCAGGGCUCGGGCUGGGAAGUUUUCUCCUAAAUGAACACAUGGACGAUGGCUGUGCCUAAAAGGUCUACUCGCUGAUUGGAAACAAAGUGAACAGAAGUGGACUGUAUUUUGGUAGCUUCUUGCAUAGUUGUUUGAUCCUGUGCAGAGCUAUUAUGGUUACUAGGAAUGUCUUUAUGUAGGAGCGUAUUGUGGCGUCCCUACUUUUGCACUCACGCAGAUGAUGUCCUUAGCGAAGCAAUUUAAACAUAAUCGCCUUUGAUUAAUUUAAGUUUCUCGCUCUGGUUGAGACAUCGGGAGGGAGCGAGUACAAAGUCGAACUGGAUGAGCCUCUUUGGAGCACAGAUCACAGCUGCGAACCUUUGGAGCAAAAUGGGUCUCUCAAGAUAAAUAGAAGUAGAUGCUGGAAUUUAUGGAAGUAAAAAAACCAAGAAGUGAAAGUCGGAUUAAAUUAUUUUGAAAGCAAUUCAAAAGUGAAAACAAUAAUUCCACUGUAAAGGCGUACACGGCCAAAAAUGGCGUUGUUCUCACUGGAAACUUUCUAAAAACCCAAAUAUUAGAAAAUAUCUGCAGAGUAGUAUGGUUGGAUAUGGUCAGUCGAUAUAACAGGAUAUUAUAUUUUAGUUCCUUUGUUGUUGUUGUUGUUUUCUUUUUUAAUUAUUAACUAAAUAGUUGAAAAAUUGUGAAUACGGUAUUACCAGUUUGGCGCUACCUUAACGGAUGCCCUGUGGAACUACGGAACGACUGGAAUUGAAAUUGAUAUAUAUAAGCAAAUGUACAUACGUUGAAAUGUGUAAUUUAUUUGUUAAGCAAUUUCACACAAAUGUAAAAUGGAAUCAUGCACGCAAACUGCAGUACAAUGAUAUGUACAUGUAGAUAGGACGGUACUGUAUGUGUGUUGCAAUUAGUUAACAUUAAUGUUAAUGUUUAGUAUAUAAAGUUAAAAUAAAUUACUAUCGAUAAAUUUUAUUAUUAUUUAAUUAAGAAUAUGCUGCCACACUUAAAUAAAAGGGACGCUAAAAAGCAGACGUGCCACGAUAAACUAAAUAAUUAAGUCUUUUAAUUAUAAGCCAAUCAGGCUUAUUACAUGGUGUCAGAUAUAAAAAUAUUGUAAAUAUUUUUGACCGAAUUAGAUUGUUCAUCAUUGGCGGUUGAGUGGCCUAAGUGGAAAAGGUCUUUUCUGAUGUACAUAUGUACAUGAUGACCGCUGGAAAUGAUACGGAACAGAAGCAAUGAAAAUUGAAACUUUUCUAUGGCUUGCUGGAACUCUGUUCCCGAACGACGGAACUGCAAAUGGCAUGGUGGGCGCCAACGUGACAUCAUCAGAGCCUUCAACGUCAGCGGCAGUUACAAUUCGUUCAUUGGAUCAAGUAAUUAAAGAUUUUGCUGACUAUAACACUCUAUUUAAGAACAUCACGAUGGAAUCCUUCAAGUUCAACAAUGUCAUGCAGAGCGACGGGCAGCCAUUAUUGGAAUUUGAGACGAAGUUCCGUAAGCAAGUACGACUUCAAAUGUGCGUGCGGUAAAUCAUACGAAAAACGAAUGCUGUUCAAUCGCGUCAUAAUUGUUGUACACGAUAAAAGACUACAGCUUAAAGACGCAAAGAAUAAGCAGUUGGAGCUAUCAUCAAUGAAUGUAAGGCGUUUGAAGCAGCAACUAAAAACAACGAGCAACUAAAAUGUGCAGAAAACAAAACCAAGUCUGUGGAAAACAACUCGAUCAACGCAUUGACUCGCCGAUGCUACAACUGUGGGGCGCUUUUCAACUAUAACCAUCCAGCGGAGUACAAGGCUAAAGGGAUAAUGUGAAAAGCUGGACACUUUGCAAAAUACUGCAAACAAAAGAAGUGCAUGGACAACAACACAGCAUCGCCAAGUCAUUAGUGGAAGUGGAUCACAAGCUAGCCAAGGGAGCUACAAUAAACUGGUCGGAAUCAGGAUAAGUGGGUGUGCACUAAACUGAGUUAAAUGGACAAAGACCUUAGAUAUUAAUGGAAAAGACAUUACCUUUACAGUGGAUACUGGCGCAGAUGUCAAUUGUAUUCCAAUUGAUCCCAAACUUGAAGUUAAACCAGAGAAUCUCAUAGUUUUUGAUUACAACAAUGUUAAAGGUAAUAAUUACGGAAUAGCAACAGCAAGCUCCACUGAUUUAAACUCAAAACAUGUAAGAAUAUUGAAUUUUUAGUGGUAAAAAAUAAAUGCGAACCUAUAUUAGGUCU